UUUUCUUUGUUAUUCAUUUGAAUUAGUUUCCAAUUUAGAUGCAGUUUUGCCCUCUGUCUCCUCCCAAUAACAAUCCAGUAGGAUCAAGUUUACAUGAACCUUGAUCACACUGAGGAACUGAAAGGGAGAUUUCCACAAACAGGCAUGGCAUCCAUCUACCAGUUCCCUUCUUAUUUUUGCUUUUGUGAGAGUUUUUUGUUACAUUUCGAGGUUUUUUUUCCACACUGUAUUUUAGGUUUGCUACUUCAGCGAAUACCAACAGCAAAUUUCCUUCACAGGAAAUUUCCUUCCUACAUUUAAGGACUACUUCUUGUGGAUCUGUGAAGUACUGAGCAAAGUGUCUGGGAAAUCAAGGUGGAGCUCUCAGAGGCUCUGGGAUGGAAAACUAUGGGAAAUUGGAGGUCACCAUGGAAACGUUCGCUGGAGCAGGAAAUGAAACUGCUGUGUUGAUCAAGUAGGAGACGCAGCAUUUGAAGUAAACACAGCAGCAGCCAGUCAGUAACAGGAGGUAUCUCAGGUACCUAUGAGCAUAAGCUCCCCCCGCUUCACUGCACUGCACCAGCUCUCUGGGAACUCAUUUUUGAGAAUAAGCAUGAAUUGGCAAUAAACUCACUUUUUUAAUCAGUCACUGCAGCUGCGAGCCUGGAUUGCAACAUACGCUGUGAUAAUUCCUGUUUCAGAUGUGUUCUAAAAAUUUACAUCAACUAUUCGAGACUCUGCCGAAAUGAUCAAAUUGUUUGGAUUCAUUCACUGCUCUGGGGAAAACAUCCCUCCAAAUCUAAAUAGCAUUCAGAUGGAAGCUUCCAUCUGCUAAAAAGCAGGUCAGCUCAGCCACACUCAAAGAUUUUGUUCCAUACCCAACCCCCCCACCCAUCCCCAAAUCCCAUAAGACUCUUUCCUGAAAUUUCUCCCCCAAAAAUGCUUGUGCAGAGUUAUGAAGAUGUUUUGACUUUUAAGAACUGAUCAGGUGAUUCAGAACACCUCUCCCAAGAGGAGAAGCUGAAGAGUUGGGUUUGUUCAGCCUGCAGAAGGUUCCUCUGCAAGAGAGCUGAAGAGGGACUUCUGACAGGAGA